rnacentral:rRNA from 1 species
UCCGCCUGGGGAGUACGACCGCAAGGUUGAAACUCAAAGGAAUUGACGGGGGCCCGCACAAGCGGUGGAGCAUGUGGUUUAAUUCGAAGCAACGCGAAGAACCUUACCAGGUCUUGACAUCCUUUGACCACUCUAGAGAUAGAGCUUUCCCUUCGGGGACAAAGUGACAGGUGGUGCAUGGUUGUCGUCAGCUCGUGUCGUGAGAUGUUGGGUUAAGUCCCGCAACGAGCGCAACCCUUAUUGUUAGUUGCCAUCAUUUAGUUGGGCACUCUAGCGAGACUGCCGGUGACAAACCGGAGGAAGGUGGGGAUGACGUCAAAUCAUCAUGCCCCUUAUGACCUGGGCUACACACGUGCUACAAUGGGAAGUACAACGAGUCGCUAGACCGCGAGGUCAUGCAAAUCUCUUAAAGCUUCUCUCAGUUCGGAUUGCAGGCUGCAACUCGCCUGCAUGAAGCCGGAAUCGCUAGUAAUCGCGGAUCAGCACGCCGCGGUGAAUACGUUCCCGGGCCUUGUACACACCGCCCGUCACACCACGAGAGUUUGUAACACCCGAAGUCGGUGAGGUAACCUUUUUGGAGCCAGCCGCCUAAGGUGGGAUAGAUGAUUGGGG